rnacentral:rRNA from 2 species
CUAGUGAUUAGAGUUUGAUCAUGGCUCAGGAUGAACGCUAGCGGCAGGCUUAAUACAUGCAAGUCGAGGGGCAGCACGGGUAGCAAUAUCUGGUGGCGACCGGCGCACGGGUGCGUAACACGUAUACAAUCUACCCUUAACAGGGGGAUAGCCCUCCGAAAGGAGGAUUAAUACCCCAUAAUAAAUUGAAUGGCAUCAUUUGAUUUUGAAAGUUCCGACGGUUAAGGAUGAGUAUGCGUCUGAUUAGCUAGUUGGUGAGGUAAAGGCUCACCAAGGCAACGAUCAGUAGGGGAUCUGAGAGGACUACCCCCCACACUGGUACUGAGACACGGACCAGACUCCUACGGGAGGCAGCAGUAAGGAAUAUUGGUCAAUGGAGGCAACUCUGAACCAGCCAUGCCGCGUGCAGGAAGACGGCCCUAUGGGUUGUAAACUGCUUUUGUACGGGAGAAAGCCCUUUCACGUGUGAGAGGUUGAUGGUACCGUAAGAAUAAGCAUCGGCUAACUUCGUGCCAGCAGCCGCGGUAAGACGAAGGAUGCAAGCGUUAUCCGGAUUCAUUGGGUUUAAAGGGAGCGUAGGUGGACUUGUAAGUCAGUGGUGAAAUCUCUCAGCUUAACUGAGAAACUGCCAUUGAUACUGCAGGUCUUGAGUACAGAUGAUGUGGGCGGAAUAUGACAUGUAGUGGUGAAAUACUUAGAUAUGUCAUAGAACACCGAUUGCGAAGGCAGCUCACAAAACUGUAACUGACACUGAGGCUCGAAAGUGCGGGGAUCAAACAGGAUUAGAUACCCUGGUAGUCCGCACCGUAAACGAUGAUUACUCGUUGUUAGCGAUAUGACAGUUAGCGACCAAGCGAAAGCGAUAAGUAAUCCACCUGGGGAGUACGCCGGCAACGGUGAAACUCAAAGGAAUUGACGGGGGCCCGCACAAGCGGAGGAGCAUGUGGUUUAAUUCGAUGAUACGCGAGGAACCUUACCUGGGCUUGAAAGUUAGUGACCGUCUCUGAAAGGAGAUUUUCCGCAAGGACACGAAACUAGGUGCUGCAUGGCUGUCGUCAGCUCGUGCCGUGAGGUGUUGGGUUAAGUCCCGCAACGAGCGCAACCCCUACCAUUAGUUACCAGCGAGUAAUGUCGGGAACUCUAAUGGAACUGCCCGUGCAAACGGUGAGGAAGGUGGGGAUGACGUCAAGUCAUCACGGCCCUUACGUCCAGGGCUACACACGUGCUACAAUGGCCGGUACAACGGGCAGCUACACAGCGACGUGAUGCUAAUCUCUAAAAACCGGUCUCAGUUCGGAUUGAAGUCUGCAACUCGACUUCAUGAAGCUGGAUUCGCUAGUAAUCGCGCAUCAGCAAUGGCGCGGUGAAUACGUUCCCGGGCCUUGUAGACACCGC